rnacentral:rRNA from 1 species
UAGGGAAUCUUCCACAAUGGGCGAAAGCCCGAUGGAGCAACGCCGCGUGUGUGAUGAAGGGUUUCGGCUCGUAAACACUGUUGUAAGAGAAGAAUGACAUUGAGAGUAACUGUUCAAUGUGUGACGGUAUCUUACCAGAAAGGAACGGCUAAAUACGUGCCAG